GUGGCUGUAGCUCAGCUGGUUAGAGCGUCCGGUUGUGGUCCGGAAGGUCGCGGGUUCAAACCCCGUCAGCCACC
rnacentral:tRNA from 1 species